rnacentral:rRNA from 1 species
GAUGAACGCUGGCGGCGUGCCUAAUACAUGCCAGUCGAGCGAACGGACGAGAAGCUUGCUUUUCUGAUGUUAGCGGCGGACGGGUGAGUAACACGUGGAUAACCUACCUAUAAGACUGGGAUAACUUCGGGAAACCGGAGCUAAUACCGGAUAAUAUUUUGAACCGCAUGGUUCAAAAGUGAAAGACGGUCUUGCUGUCACUUAUAGAUGGAUCCGCGCUGCAUUAGCUAGUUGGUAAGGUAACGGCUUACCAAGGCAACGAUGCAUAGCCGACCUGAGAGGGUGAUCGGCCACACUGGAACUGAGACACGGUCCAGACUCCUACGGGAGGCAGCAGUCGGGAAUCUUCCGCAAUGGGCGAAAGCCUGACGGAGCAACGCCGCGUGAGUGAUGAAGGUCUUCGGAUCGUAAAACUCUGUUAUUAGGGAAGAACAUAUGUGUAAGUAACUGUGCACAUCUUGACGGUACCUAAUCAGAAAGCCACGGCUAACUACGUG